rnacentral:misc_RNA from 1 species
GAUGAAGAACGUAGCGAAAUGCGAUACGUAAUGUGAAUUGCAGAAUUCCGUGAAUCAUCUAAUUUUUGAACGCACAUUGCACUCUGUUGAAAGGCAGAGUAUGCCUGUUUGAGAAUCUAUAGUAUUUCUUUUACCAUUUUUUUUUUACAAUUUUUGUAAUAAAAAGGUAAAGAUUUGAACUUUCUCUACCAAGAGUGGUUUGAAAUUUAUCGCUGGUAUUAAUUAAGAGUAAUGACUCUAAGCAAUACAACAGACCAGUAUGUGAAUGAAACUUUGGUUUCCCAUAAUGCCCAGUAAGUUGUCGCCUAGAUAGCUUUUGAUUAAUAGUAGUUCAUAACUAUUAAAAGUUUAUUAGUAAUAAUAAACUUUGAACCAUGGUCUCAAAUCAGGUAGGAUUACCCGCUGAACUUAAGCAUAUCAAUAAGCGGAGGA